UACAGAGGUCUCAAGCGUUGUUCGGAUUCAUUGGGCGUAAAGGGUGCGUAGGUGGCGCCGUAAGUCAGGUGUGAAAUCUCGGGGCUCAACCCCGAAACUGCACUUGAUACUGUGGUGCUCGAGUACUGGAGAGGAGAUUGGAAUUUACGGUGUAGCAGUGAAAUGCGUAGAUAUCGUAAGGAAGACCAGUGGCGAAGGCGAAUCUCUGGACAGUUACUGACACUGAGGCACGAAGGCCAGGGGAGCAAACAGG
rnacentral:rRNA from 1 species